UCUGUUUAGACUUCGUGUGUGUGGAGGCCAGAGGGACGGAUUCAGGGCAGAGAAAAACCGCAGCAGAAAAGAGGUAAGCCCUAGGCAUGCAGUGUAAGGGUCGUCCUUGAAGGCUGGAGGGUGAGGGCCACACACAGGUGCAAAGAGUCACUCUGGGAGGAGGAAAGAUGCUUCUUGGCUGCAGAGUAGGUUUUUGUUUUAAUUUUAAAAAUUAUUUUAUGUGUAUGAGUGUUUUGCCUGCAUUUACAUGUGUACUGCAUAUGUGCAGAGCCUGUAGUGACCAGAAGAGGGUGCCAGGUCCCCUGGAACUGGAGUUAGACAGUUGUGAGCUGUUUUGAGGGUGCUGGGAAUAAAAGCAGGGGUCCUUGCUGGGCAGUGGUGGCGCAUACCUUAAUCCCAGCACUCAGGAGGCAGAGGCAGGCAGAUCUCUGUGAGUUCGAGGCCAGCCUGGUCUACAGAGCAAGUUCCAGGACAGCAGGGAUACACAGAGAAACUCUGUUUCUAAAAUAAACACGGGUCCUCUGCUCGCUGGUGCUCUUAAUGCUGAGCCAUCUGGAAAACCCAGAGUAUGGGCCUGGACUUCUUGUUUGGUUGGUUUUGGAGGAGACUAGGACUUGAACCCAGGUCUUUGCACAUGCUAGGCCAGUGCUCUGCUGCUACAGCCCAAGCACUGGGGCUACCGGCAAGUGCCACUGCACCCACAAACCCAUUGCUUUCUUUGUCAUUUUUUAAAAUAGAAAGUGUGUGUGUUUGUGUGUGUGUGUCUCUGUCUGUCUGUGUCUAUGAGUCUCUGUGUGUGUGACUGUGUCUGUAAAUCUGUAUGUCUCUGUGUGUGUGUCUGUAAGUCUGUAUGUCUGUGUGUGUGUGUGUCUGUGAGUGUGUAUGUCUCUGUGUGUGUGUCUGUGAGUCUGUAUGUCUCUGUGUGUGUCUGUGUCUGUGUGUUUGAAUGCAGGCAAGUAUGUAGAGGUCAAAGGGCAACUUUUGAGAACAGGGUCUCUCUUUCUACCUUGUUUAUUUAUUAUUAUUAUUUUAUAAUUUGCCUGCGUGUACCAUGUAUGUGCCUGGUGGCCAUGGAGGCAAGAAGAGGUGUUGGAUCCCCUGGAGUUUCAGAUGGUUGUGGAGAGACACCACAUGGGGUAGGAAUCUAACCCAGGAUCUCUCCAAGAGUAGCAUAUGCUCUUAACCAUGGAGCCAUCUUUCCAGCCCUAUAUUUUAAUUUAUUUAUUUUUAUUUUAUUUAUAUUUUGGUUUUUAAAAAGGGUUUCUCUGUGUAGCCCUCACUGCCCUGGAACUUGCUCUGUAGACCAGGCUGGCCUCAGGGAUCCACCUGCCUCUGCCUCGUAAGUGCUGGGAUUAAAGGCAUACACCACCACUACCACCCAGCUUUAUUUUUUAAAUUUAUCUCUGUGUGUGUACCAUGAGUGUGUGUAGGUAUCCUCAAAGGCCAGAGAGUGUCAGAUCCCAACGUGGGUGCUGGGUAUUGAACCCAGGUCCUCUGGAAGAGCAGCGGGUACUCUUAACCACUGAGCCGUCUCUCCAGCUCCCAUUUUCAUUUGUCAAUUUUUUUAACUUCAGUUUUACAUUGUGUGUGUGUGUGUGUGUGUGUGUGUGUGUGUGUGUGUGUGUGCAGGUGUGGAGGUCAGAGGACAGCUUGUGGGAGUCAGUUCUUCACUUCCACUGUAUGGGUUUCUGAGAUCACACUCAGGUUGUCAGACUUGAGGACAAGUGCCUUUACACACUGCCAUUUCUCCAGCUCCGCCUUGCUUGGGGACAGUGUUUCAGACAUGCUGAUGAGCCCAUGAGCUUCCAGGGCAAUUUUCCUGUCUCCACCUUCUGUCUAACCUUGUGGGUGCCAAGAUUACAGAUGCAAACCACCGUAUCACUUUUUGUGGAUCCCAGGUUUCCAGGUGUAUAUGGCAAGUGCCUUUCCCGCUGUGCCUCCUCCCUGGCCUCCUCACUGGCCUCCUCGCUGGCCUCCUCGCUGGCCUCCUCGCUGGCCUCCUGUAGCUCUUUGUAGCCUGAACAUUCUGCUACUGCUGUUCUCUCAGUUUGGUUCCAAAGAACCAGAGGUCCCUGAUCGAUCGACCUCUUGUCCCCUUCACAGAAUUCCUCUACCGUUCCUUUAGAAACCUGGAGGACAGAAUUCCACCCUAGGUUCUGACUUCCUUCUUGUCGGUCUCUCCUCCCCAUUGGGCAAGCUUACCUUUCCCAGGGAGCUAAGCCCUUUUCAAGUCCUAAGAUUUGAAUCAAGACAGUCUGGCUCCUGCAUCCAGGCUGUCAACAUUGCCUGUCUGAUCCCAUUGCCACAUCUGAUGUGCUGCCACCAAACAGGACACUGGAGUCAUCCGCAGCACCUCCCCCUCUCCCAGCUCCACGCAGGCUACAAGUCCUGUCCAUUUUACCUCUGUCUCUCUGCUCUGGCCCCUUCUCCCCAUCCUGUGCCUCGGCUCCCUCUGCUCUUCCUUUGGUCUUCCCUGUGCUGCUCCGAAUGCCUGAAGUCCCCAUGCUACUUAAAACAUCUGCUGGCGUAUUGUUCCAGUGUCCGGCCUCCUCGUGUGGCCAGGAGGCCUUUCGUAAGCUGCCGGCAGUGUGCCUCCCCAGCCUCGUGUGCCACCACUGCCUCUAGCCAUACUGAAUUCCUGCUUUGCCCCGUGCGCCACAUCCAUGUAUUUCCAGGUCUCCUGCUGCACUUUUGAAAUCAUUGCUAACUGUACACUGGCCACCCUGCUAGACGUGCAAGUGUCAGGGGACAUGGAGACAGGGCUCCUGCAGGACAUAUGGGCUAGGAGAGAAAUGUAAUCAGUGUGGGGUGAGGGGGGCUAACGGGAGAACGGAGAAACAGGGUCGUUUGCUCCUCUCCUGCUUUUCUCUUGGCAAAUAGUUCAUUCCAGAGCUGGGUGCUGGGAAUAUAGCAGUGGACAAGGGAGGUAGUGAGGUCUGGCUUCACGGCCCAGAGUGGAAAGCUUGAGUGUUCCUGGCCAGACAUCGCAAGUGCAGGGACCCCAGAUCUGUGGGAAAGACCUGACCAGAGCAGCAUUCUCAGCCCUGCUGUGUCAUGUGGUGACUUAAUGACAUCAUGGCGCAUCACACGGUGACUUAAUGACACCAUGGCGCAUCACACGGUGACUUAAUGACACCAUGGUGCAUCACACGGUGACUUAAUGACACCAUGGCGCAUCACACGGUGACUUAAUGACACCAUGGCGCAUCACACGGUGACUUAAUGACACCAUGAUGCAUCACAUGGUGACUUAAUGACAUCAUGGCGCAUCACAUGGUGACUUAAAGACAUCAUGAUGCCAGAGCUUUCCCUGGGGAAAUUAAACCUGAACCUUUUGGAGUGAGGCCUAGGCAUGUUAGUGCUGCUAGGGACCAAAGCCAGGGUCUUGUACAUGGCAGACAAAUGUUCUACUAUGGAGCUACAGUCCCCAUCCGUCAAUGGUUUUUGAGACAAGAUCUCAUGUAGCCCAGGCUGCCUUCAGACUUGCUGUGUAGUGCAGGCUGGCUGUAAAUUCCUCAUCCCAGGAUUACAAGUGUGUACCACCACACCCAGCAGCGCACGAUGCUCCUCGGGAUUCGAAGUCCCCUACCCCGAAGUGGAGAUCAGAGGCAAGGUUUGGGAGGUGAGCAGAGUCCCACCACCAUGGGUCUUAUAAACCACUGGAGAGACUGCACUUCAUCUUGAAGGCGCUGGAGCCCCUGGAGGGUUUCAGCUGGGUAAUAGACGCUCCUAUCGUCUGCCCCUUCCCCCUUUAACACAGGGUCAGCUUGGUAGCCCCAGGCAGCAUGAUUCAGGACUGAGCAGAGCAAACGGUUGUCAGUUCAGAGACUACUGCAGGAGCUGAGGGAACGGUGGGCGUGAGCGACAGACGGACGGAGGUGGGAGCGAGGGAGAGAAGGGAGCGGAAGUGUCCGCGAACUCGAGGGACCAGACAGGACUUAGUGAGAAUGGAAAGCUUCCACUUGCGGAGUUGAGUCUGUGGGAACCAUGAUGCUUGAAGCCGCGAAUCAGGAGGCUCAGGUCUUGAGAGAGCCAGCAGGUCCCUGGUGGACAUGCUUUCUCCUGUGUCCCUCUACCUGGGACAGCAUGACUUAUCUUCUCCACAGGACAAGACACUUGCUUCCUACAUGACCUGGCAUACACCUCCUUUCUGGGGAGGCUGUCUGUGUCCUGGUGUGUGUGUCACUGAUAAAGCCAUUGUCUGCUUAUAGGCAUCUUUCCCCAUGCACAUGUGGUGUGCAUGCUUGCGUGUAUACACGUUUGAAUUGGUAUGGUUUUGUAUGUGUGUGCAUCUGCAUUUGGAUGUCGGCAUCAGGAGUCUUCCUGAAUAGCUCUCCACCUUAUUCUUUGAGGCAGGGUCUCUCGGUUGAACGCAGAGCUUAUAGAAAGGGCUGGCUGGAUUCCUGGCACCAGUUUUGAGAUCUGGAAUUACAGGCAGGCUGACAUGCCCAUUCAGCAGACCCAGGUUCAAUUUCCAGCACCCACAAGGUGGUUCACAGCUGUAACUCCAAUUCCAAGGGCUCUAAUACCCUCUGGUGUCCAAGGACACAAGGCAAACAUGAUGCAAAAACAUCUAUAAUAGCAAACACGCAUGCACAUAAAAUAAAAUCAGUCUGUUUGUUUGUUUGUUUCAAGACAAGGUUUACCUGUCCUGGAACUCAUUCUUAGUGUCUCUGCCUCCGAGUGCUGGGAUUAAAGAUGUGUGCCACACUUCCCGGCUGUGUUUCCUUUUAUAGGUUAUCAUAUGGAAAAAGUUUGUGUCAGAGGCUUAAUAGUAGACCAGAUCUUUUUUGCACUUAGUUCAAGCCCUCAGCACCGAAAGAAAGAAGAGGAAAGGGAAGGAAGGAGGGAGGGCUUGAAAAGCAGUUCUGUGAGUUGUGCCUUGUGUGUUGUAGUGCAGACGUUCUGACAUGGAUAAGAGAGCACCCUGUGUGUCAGAUGCUAAGACGGCACUAUAGAGUGUCCUGUCGAGGGACCCACUCCUGCUGAGAGACUCCCUUUGAAGAGUAACUAAAGCUUGCUGAUGCAGAGAAGCUGCUGGUUUUGGGGGGACAGUGACACAGGGGGUACAGGAAUAGGGUGCAGCAUGUCUGUGGUUUCUCUUUCCUAGGAGGCCCCACAGUGUCUAUGAUGUCUAGUAACUUGUGACUUGCCAAGGCACAAGUGCAGGCAUCUCCAUGGGGGGCUGUGGGGGAGGAGCAUCACUUAGUGACUGAGGUCUUUCACGUGUGUGUGUGUGUGUGUGUGUGUGUGUGUGUGUGUGUGUGUGUGUGUGUGUUUGUGACAGGACUAACCAUGGCCCAGGUUAGUCCAGACUCACUGUGUAGCUGAGGAGAGUCUUGAACUCCUCAUCCUCCUGACUGCAUCUCCCUGGUGCUGGGAUCAUAGGUGUGAGCAUUACACUGGCGUCUGUGUUUGAGCAUGGCAUGCUGUUUUUCCUCCUCUUUGUCAUGAACUUUACUCCCUCAAGUGACAAAGAUGUCACUCGUGUCUGAAGAACAACUGUAAACAAGGGUGAAGCGAGGGUGGAAGUUUUGAGGAAGAUGACGCCAAGGAGAACAGAUGACUCUGACAAAAGUCUGAUUCCUUGGGAGCCCGAAGCUGCUGCAUGGUUUUCCUGGGCUUCCUGUGGGUAGCUUGAGAGGGUAGUCGUGCCUUGCCAUAUUCUUUGUAUGUGUGCAUGUGUGUGCAGGCCAGAGGUCAGUAUCGUGCGUCAUUCCUCAGGAACUGUCCACCUCGUUUUUAUUUAUUUUACCCCCACGGCUUUAUUUUUGUUUUAAUUAUGUGUAUGUGUGUAUGUGCAUGUGGGUGCAGGUGCACACUGAGGCCAGGAGAGGACAUCAGAUCCCCUGGAGGAGCUAGAGUUACAAGGAGUUGACCAAAUGCUGGGACCUGAACUCAGGUCUUCUUCAAGAGCCGUCUCUCCAGCCUUUCUCUCCCUCCCUCCCUCCCUCCCUUCCUCCCUCCCUCCCUCCCUCCGUUCCUUCCUUUUAAUAUUUACUGGGGGGGGCACUCAUGCAGAGGUCAGAGGACAACUUUCAGGAGUCCGUUCUGCCUCCCACCUUGUUGAGCUGGGCUCUCUUGUUCCUGUUGCUGAGUACUGCAGCCUAGCUGCCCCAGGGGCUGAGAUUGAUAGUUCUCCUGCCUCUGCCUCCACCUGUCUGUAGAAAUGCUAGGAUUAUAGAUGUCUACCUUUUGCCUCUGGGCUUUUCCCAUUCUCUUACUUCUGUAUAUCUUACUCUCACUCCAGGGCUUGCUGUGUGGCUGGGUGGCUGGCCCCUGGAGCCCUCCUCCUUCUCUUGCUCUUAGAUCUUCUUCUCCAAGAUUUCCCCUUCUAUAUUUUCUCUCUGCCUGCCAGCCCCACCUACCCUUUCUCCUGCCUCACUAUUGGCCGUUCAGUUCUUUAUUAGCCCAUCAGGUGUUUUAGGCAGGCACAGCAACACAGCUUCACAGAGCUAAACAAAUGCAGCAUAAACAAAAGUAACACACCUUAAAAUAAUAUUCUACUACAGCUGAUUAAUUAGGCUGGCCAGUGAGCCCAGGGACCCUUUAGCCACCUGUCAGUGCUGAAAUGCUAAGCAUACACUUCCACACUUGGCUUCUUAUGUGGGUCCUGGGAAUUGAAGCAAGAUCCUCGUGCUUGUAUGCUGCGCUCUUUACUGUCUGAGAUCUCUCAUCCACCCCGUUUUUGUUGUUGCUCAUUUGUUUCUAAGACAGGUUCUCCUCCAACUUGUAAUCCAGGAUCCUGACUUUGCCUCCCAAGCACUAGGAGCCAGGUGAAACCUAUCAUAUCAUAUUCUUGCUGCUUUUUUAGAACGUGGGGGAGCUAGCAUUGAUCUGAGGCAGCAUUAGUUUAUUGCACAGGCUAUGCAAGAUAUAGGUGUAGUGUAUACACAUUUUCUUUUGUUUAACAAGGGGCAGAAACAGGGCUGGUGAGAUGGCUCAGUGGGAGCUUGAUGUCAAGCUUGGUGACAUGAGUUCAGUUCCUAGAGCCACAUGGUGAAAGGUGAAAACUAGAACCCAUUCCCAAAAGUUACCUUCUGACCUCCACAGCACAUGCAGGCAUACACAUGCACACACACUGAAUAGAUGUUUAAGUGAGAAAGAGGCAAAACCAAACGUUGUAAGGGAUGGCUGCUUGUUUUUUACUUACAAUGCAAAUACUUCUGUUUUGGCCAGGGUUCUCUAGAGUAACAAAACUUAUAGAAUGAAUCUCUCUCUCUAUCUGCGGAACAGUAUUUAUUAGAAUGACUUACGGACUGUGGUCCAGCUAAUCCAACAAUGGCUGCCUAUGAAUUGAAGGCCCGAGAAUCUAGUAGUUGUUCAGUUCACGAGGCUGGAUGCCUCAGCAGAUCCUCCCAAAGAAGUAGGCUCUAAUGCCAGUGAAGGAAUGGACUUACUAGCAAGGUGAGAGCAAGCAGGCAAACAGCAAAGACUUCCUUCUUCCAUGUCCUUACACAGGCUUCCCGCAGAAGGUGUGGCCCAGAUUAAAGAUGGACCUUCCCACCUCCAAAGAUCUGGAUUAAACAUUCUACUGUCUGAAUGAUCAUGUGACUGGCACCUUAUCCUCCUCUGCCAUCCCCAACCUCUUGGGUGCCUGGAGUGGAAGGCUCUGCCUAAGAGAGGCAAGAACCGAAGUUUGAGGUAGACGAGCGGGCGAGCCGUUUGCCCGGGCGCAGAGCAUGAAGGCCGGGCGGGCGCGGGGAGCGGGCGCCCGCCGCCCGGCGCGGGGGUGAGCGAGAGAGAGAGCGGAGCGCGUGUGGCCGGCGCCGCUCGGCCUGGAGCUCCCGCGCCCGC